rnacentral:lncRNA from 1 species
UUGACAAUGAAUAACGAGAGGAAAACGAUAUUUUCCGUGUGAUAAUUUUCUUACGUCGUUUUAACAAAGAUUUCACAUUAUUGUUCGUUUCAGCGACGAAAAAUUCGUCGAUUCGAUUGUUGUCGAUGGAUCCAUCAGUGACAGCAACGGACUCGAUCUCCGAAUUGAAAACUUUUGUGCACAAAUCGACGAAAUCUGGUUUCAAUUUGACACCGGAAGGAACGAAGAUUUUUGUUUUUAUUCUAACAUCGUAUUUCUGCAAUGUGUUUAAUGCGUUUGAUUACGUGGCACGUUUCCGAAAAUGUUUUUUUUUUUUUUUUUUUUUUUUUUUUCAAUAAAAACGAUUUCAGAAUAUUUUUAUACUGAAAACGUGGAACGCUGCUUUGGAAAGUGUUUUUUAGACCCUGAAAAGCAGCGUUCUCGUUCCUCGAUGCCAGACCCUAAAUUGCAAUAAUGCAGGUGAGACUCACCGCCAAUUCGUUCAUGAAGAUCGCAUAACCAACUUUAGCCAUUUGAGUUUUAUUUUCCGGAAGGCCAAUCGCGUCCAGGAACAUCGCUCUGGUUUCGCCUCGAGCUCCAUAAGACAGCAUUGACAGAGGGAUGAAAACGCUUAACGGUGAAGUAGUUACGUCAAUGGUUUUGUACUCAGCCCGUUUCUGUGAAAGUAGCAAAAUAAAAGCAAAAAAACAUUUUUUUUUCGUUUUCCUUUCAGCGUACCUGAAAGUAGAAGGAGGAGAAAUUGCUUGCGAGUUCCAGGACGAGCCAUUCACAAAAAUUUCGAUCUGAACACGAUUCACCAAUUGAUGGAAGAGCCGCCUCUGCGUUCUGAAGUACCGUAGGAACUGCAUUUGCAACUCCACAACGAAAGACUGGAACUUUUCUGCAAUGGCGGAUCCGAGGAGUCCGCUCUUUAUACCCCUGCGUCGCCUCUAAUAAAGUGUCUCGAACAAAUACAGCGAUCAACUUCUACGUAAUAAUUAGAAAGAGCGCAGAGUGAAGAAAUUUUCUCAGAAACCAUGUUCGAUAUUAAACAUUAAACGGCAAAGAUCCAUCUGUGGCAAUAUUUACAAUAGACAUCACACUGUGAGCUCGAAUAAUUUUUUGAAUAUCAUCGAUGUAACAACCUACAGAUAGAAAAAUAGGCGGCUCUGGGCACUAUUUUUCUCAAUAACACCUUUAACAACGUCGAUUAUCGAAAACGAAUACAAUUUCUCGGCGCACAUGUCUUGUAUCGAACAGAAAAUAACCUGCAAAAUCACACUCAAUUUCUUCCAAAUUAUGAAUUUAUGAUGCUACGAUAAAUUUCACGGAACUUGUAAUUAUUAAUCAAUUGAAAAAUUGUUCGUGUGUGUUCAUGCAAGAGAAGAAUUGCUUCUCCUACAUGAUAAGAGAUAAGAGGCAACGAAUACGACUUUAGAAACUCCGCUCUAUUUUUUCCUCCAACGAUAAAAAGCCACUUGUAACAAUAAUAAGACCAAAUAUCGAACAACUUUAUAAUGAAAUUUUCGAAACUCGACGCAAAAACGAGAUGCCUACGAACCGAUGUAAAUAGAAAACACUUUAUAGAGCAGCUAUUUCAAUCGAACGUUUUUUUUUCAUCAAAUUUGUUGAUUAGCGAACGAAUAAGAUUUUUAAACCAAACCCCAAUUUAUUGCUGUCUUCGUGUAGGAGAAAGCAACAUCCCAGAGCGAACCAUUCGUUUUUGACAUUUUGUGUACCAGUAGAAGCAAUAGAAAUUAUAGUGACGUUCUGUCAGAUUCCACUACGAAACAAUAUAAAACGGGGUUGAAGCAACGGGCCCAUUUUUGCAGUGAAGUAAACACAGAUUUCUACAAGCCUAAGAAAGAACAGUUACUACAGUUCUUGAGAAAGAAAUUUAAGCAAGGAGCAAACUAUGCGACAUUGAAUACAUUUAGGUCGACAAUAGCUUUAAUCUGAAAUAACAAAAUUGGAAAAAGCCCGAUGAUAUGUCGAUUUGUGAAAGGUGUGUUUAAAAUGAGACCUACAAGGUCAAAAUAUUCACAGACCUGAGAUGUUGCAAUUGCGUGUUGAAACAUUUAGAAAAAUAUUUUCCUUUAGAUAAGAUAUCGUUAACAGAUUUAACCAAGAAAACUAAUGUUUCAUCUUUCGUCCAAAAAAAUACUCUUCGUUACUGGGAGUACAGCAUUUCAAAGGGGAGAGCCGUAAGUAUUGAAGGACGAGGGGGGAAAAAAUGAAAGGUAUUGUGUUCGAGGUUGAAUAAAAGCCCAUGAAACGGU